GGAAGACCCAAUUCUUUCCAA
rnacentral:misc_RNA from 1 species